ACUAGCCGGAAGGCGGGGCAGGAGGGACGGGACGGGGGCAGGGCCACAGCGGGAGGCGGUGACGCGGCGCCGAGUGGUCUCUUGGGAGUUGUAGUCCUCCAACGCAAGGAACCGAGGGCUCCAUCGUGGCGGUGGAGGCUUCCCGGCUGUCUCUGCACUGCGCAUGCUCAGGGCGAGAGGGUCGGCCCCCACUGUUGCUAUGGUCACCGACACUCGGAGGGAGAGACCGCGUUCCUCGCUGCUGCUGGCUGAACAAGGCCCUCCUUGUCCUAAGAGCGCAAAAGAGAGAGCACAAAUGGGGAGCAGGAGAGGGAGGAACAGGCUCCUUGUUGAGCUAGGAGCCAGAUACAGGCUCCAUCCCAGGACUCCAGGACCAUGACCUGAGCUGAAGCAGAUGUUUAACCAACUGAGCCACCAGGUGUAAAGCACUGCAAUAGGUGCUGAAGAUUCAAGAAUAUUGACUGCUAUACAAAUAAUACUCCACUUUGCAUGGAAGGGAUCUGAGGCUGCGAGUCACCAUAGAGCUGCUGUCCCAAGGACACAGCUGGAAGACACAACUGUAUCCCUGUGCAACUGGACAUCUGAGCCUAAGGAGCUUGGUCAGGACUUGACAACUGACUGGCUGGCCUCCUGGAGAUUCCACAGCUGCAAUGGCUACCAUAAGCAGGUGCUGUUUCUCUGGAGAACCCUAACUAAUAAAAUGGGAAAGAUGGGUCAUUUUGAGCACACGUUGGAUUGACCUCUGCCCUGGCGUACCAGCUGCUGCCCCCAGGGAGGUGGGAACUGUUUUUUAAGCAUCAGUGAUGGAUUUGAACAGGCUGAUGAGGUUUCCCCGGGAACUAAGGACACCUCCCUACCGGCUGCUCUGACCCCUCCUGUGUGGGAGGGUGCCUCCAAUCAGAACAUAGCUCCUGGAGGCCAUCCUUCUCAUCCAGCCACUAGAGACCAAUAGCAAGAAGGGAACUUCCGCUUGGUCCCUGUUCACAAUAAAGUGUUCUUGGAGGAGGUGACUGACAGCAGUGAAGAGGGGACUGUCCCAAAGGACUUCAUGAUUCAGCAGGGAACUCCAGAGCAUCUGACCUAUGGGGUGUGCUCCUAAAGAACAUAAAUGGUCUUUGAGUGCUGAGAAUGGGUGAAAACUGGUCUCUGCACUUGACCCAGUUAGAACAGCCUAAGGGAGGAUGCUGAAAGAAAUAACUACAAUUACAGGUAGAAAAAAGUGAUGUGUCAAAAAAAAAAAAAGAAAGCUAUAACUUCUUCAACCUGACAAAAACUAUCUAUAAAAAGCUUAAAACUAACAACAUACUUAGCGGUAAGAAACUCAAAGAUUUCCACUAAGAUCAGCUAUACAGCAAGGAUUUCCCCUCUCAUGUCUCCUUUUCAACAUAGUACUGGAAGGCUCUGCAAAUGCAAUGAGGCUUAAUUAAUCAAUCAAUCAAUUAAUUAAAAGGUAUACAGAUUGGGAAGGAAGAGGCAAAACUUUUUGUUCACAGAUGACAUGGAGAGGGAGAGGGACAAAGGAAAGGGAAGAUAGAGAGAGAGAGAGAGAAGCUCUACUUUCUAAACUGGCUCUUAUGAGAUCCCCUCUCUUUCUUUAUUAUUCCCCCCUUAUUUUUUUUUUAAGUUUCUUUAAAUGUCUUUCAGUAUCUUAUAACCAAAGAGUCUCAACCCAAACAAGCAGGAAAUCAGAAUGUCAGAGAUGACCACCAUGCCAUAAACCCAGAGGAAAACCUAGAGAAGGCAGUGAUUUCCGUGGUAGAAAUCACACUAUGCCCAAUACAGGUGUUUGCUCCUCCUUGCUGAAGGGCUGUUUACCUUACUUGGCUUCCAGAAAUGUAGAAGGUUUCCAGUCCAAGAAUUUCAGAGAGUAACAAACAAGGUUUGGUGAGGAGGUGCUGCAUGCCUGGGACUCUGGACCACCCAAUUUAUAGCUGACCCACAGAGAGAUUUGAUAAUCUGAGAUUGAAAUGAAAGUUUAACCAAGGUGAGAAAAUCACUCGGGAAUAACAGCUCUCAAUCCUCACAAUAUCUCGUUAGUGAGUGCAUUUAGAUGGUUUAAUGCUAUGCAAUUAUUAUUUUUUAUGUAAUUAUCCAUCCAUCCACCCCUUGAUUUUACAAAUAUUUAUUUAGCGCCUACUAAGUAACAGGCAUCGGAGAUACCAAAACAAAUGAGACAUAUUCUAUGUCCUCAAAGGGCAGUGAGUACCACUUGUUCAUAGAGCUUUAAUGGCUUAUAAUUACAUGCUUUCGUGAGAUUCUUUAUUUAAUCUCUCUCUCCCCUACCAUGUCAAUUUUAUAAUGGCCGGAAUCACAUCUCGUGUCUUUUUUGUAUCCUAGCACCUGGCACACAAUGGACACUUAAUGCAUAUUUGGUAAACAGUUAAUGAAUAAUUGGCUUUCAGUUUAUUCAAGACUUAGAAUUAUCUUUCUUCUGUUUUUAUUAACCCUUAUUAUAUCCUGCCCCACAAAAGGAUCUCUUGAAAGAAGACUCAGGCAAUAGUACAUUUUGAAAGCUAGGUGACUGAUGUCCCACAGCGUUUGAAAACUGCAGACUCUGUGACAGGUGCCCAAGCUAACAGCCCCUGGUUACUAAGGAUCCCCCCUAUAAUGUCUAUCCGUGGUGUCUAGGGACUCUUCCUUUCUUGAUAGUUCAGGAGAAAGUGCAUAAAAUGCAGCUGAUUCACUGACCUUCAGGAAACUGACUCUGAAAAGUGGAAGUAGGUGUAAGCAAUGACCAUCUCUACACCAGCAAGAGGAAGUGGGCAGAUAGGACAAGGGACUCCAUGUACAGCUGUGUAGGUCCUGGGCAAGGGCAUCCAACUAGGGGAGGAAGUAGGGGCUGAAAUCUAUCCAGGAUCUUCUUUCUGACAAUGAACCCUGGCAAGAGGCUGUGUCACAGGAAUCCUAAGAACCAGAGGUGGCCCAGGUUCACUCUCAGUGGGGAGUCUUCUGGUUCUCAGGAAGACUGAUGAAGUUAUGAGGGAGAGUAUGGCAGACACCUGCACUUAGCAUUCAAUCUGAAAUCAGUAGGGUGAAGUGUUGCUCACUCCAAAAGCCUUACUCCAUGAACUACUGAUUGCCACCCUUCACCCACGCACACCCCUCUCCCCGACUAUGGCAGCUUCAGUGCUCAGAGUGAUAAAGGCUGUCUCCUAGGAAUAGCAGGAGAGAUUUGUGCAGAGACGUCUAAGACCAAGGCUGGGGACGCCUGGGUGGCUCAGCAGUUGAGCGUCUGCCUUUGACUCAGGGCAUGAUUCCAGGGUUCUGAGAUCAAGUCCCGCAUUGGGCUCCCUGUGAAGAGCCUGCUUCUCCCUCUGCCUGUGCCUCUGCCUCUCGUUCUGUCUCGUUCUUUCAUGGAUAAAUAAAUAAAAUCUUAAAAAAAAAAAAAAGACCAAGGCUGGAAGAAGGAGGAGAAGGCCCCCUGCUUCCCUGAAGAUGAAGGGAGAUGGGAGAGCAGAAAAUGGGGCUGCUGGCGGGCCACCCCAGGGCUCUGUAUUGGCUGGCAGUGAACGUUUCUUUUCCCCAAAUGUGGAUAGGUUCUACUGGCUCUGGAAAGAACUCUGUACACAGCCUAAUAGAAAAACAAUUAAGUAGCAAAUAGCUUGAAAAAAAAAAAAAAGUUACCCACAUCCACCCCUAUUCUGUUCUU